rnacentral:sRNA from 1 species
UAUCCCCAAUAUCAACGCUGAAAUGCACAACAGCAGGCGAUCACAAUAUUCUUGUCACAUAUACUUUACUGAUGCCAUAUAACCCCCCAUGAAAUUUGGAAAGUGUGUAGAAAUUUCAAAUAUCUAUAAGCAUGGCGGAACCUAGCCCUUCCAAACCCGUCCACACAAUAAUCCUCGACGCUGCGCCCCUCAUCCGCAAUGUACCCCCGAUCUCGACGCUGCUUGCGCAGUCUCACGCCCUCAUCACCACUCCUGCUGUCAUCUCCGAAAUUCGAGACCCUGCUGCGCGCUCUAGACUUGAGACGUUAUACCUCCCAUUCCUCACACAACGUACUCCCAAACCGGAGUCCGUAAGGUUCGUCGGAGAAUUUGCACGGAAGACAGGCGAUAGGCCAGUACUGAGUAGACAAGAUUUGGAGAUUCUGGCACUGGCAUAUGAAGUUGAAUGUGAGAGGAAUGGAGGUGACUGGAGGUUAAGAAAGGAGCCCGGACAGAAACGGAUUAAUGGAAUGCCGCCCACGAAGGUUGACGAGGAACAUGAGAGGGAAGGCGGGGCAAAUGGCGAUGAGCCUCCUGUGGAACAACAUCAUAAAGUUGAAGACCCCAUCGAAGAUGUGGUGGACGGCUUGGCACAGGCUACUCUAGAUAACAAGGGAGAAGAGGCACAAGGGAAUUCGGCACGAGCUACGAACGGCGUUGAGGAAACACAACUGGAAGAAUGCUCAACACGGAUACAAACGAACGAAUGCGACGAGGAUGACGAAGGUUGGAUAACCCCUUCCAACAUCAGAAAGCACCAGGCAAAAAAUGCCGCAGCUCCCGCGGCAUCCGUUGAAACAAAAACAAUGCAAGUCGCAACCAUAACCGGCGACUUCGCUAUGCAAAACGUCCUGCUGCGUAUGAACCUCAACCUCCUCUCGCCCAACAACAUGCAGCGCAUCCACCGGCUAAACUCCUAUAUCCUCCGUUGCCACGGUUGCUUCGCCACAACGAAGGAAAUGAACAAGCAAUUCUGCCCGCGCUGUGGCAAGCCAACACUGACCCGCGUCUCCUGCUCCACGUCUGCGGGCGGCACGUUCAAACUCCAUCUCAAGAAGAAUAAGCAAUGGAAUACGAGGGGGGAUAAAUAUAGUAUUCCGAAACCUACGGCGGG